rnacentral:rRNA from 1 species
GUACACUCCUGCGGGAGGCAGCAGUGGGGAAUUUUGGACAAUGGGCGAAAGCCUGAUCCAGCCAUGCCGCGUGCAGGAUGAAGGCCUUCGGGUUGUAAACUGCUUUUGUACGGAACGAAACGGCCUUUUCUAAUAAAGAGGGCUAAUGACGGUACCGUAAGAAUAAGCACCGGCUAACUACGUGCCAGCAGCCGCGGUAAUACGUAGGGUGCAAGCGUUAAUCGGAAUUACUGGGCGUAAAGCGUGCGCAGGCGGUUAUGUAAGACAGUUGUGAAAUCCCCGGGCUCAACCUGGGAACUGCAUCUGUGACUGCAUAGCUAGAGUACGGUAGAGGGGGAUGGAAUUCCGCGUGUAGCAGUGAAAUGCGUAGAUAUGCGGAGGAACACCGAUGGCGAAGGCAAUCCCCUGGACCUGUACUGACGCUCAUGCACGAAAGCGUGGGGAGCAAACAGGAUUAGAUACCCUAGUAGUCCCAU